UGGAGUCGACAUCGGUGGUCGUCGUGGUCCUCGCCGCGGUCCUCGCCGCCCUCUGCCUGCUGCUAACGGCCGUGGACGCAAACCCCGUACCCCCGCUUGCCACCCCGACUAAAACUGCAGAGAUCUACACUUGCUCCGCCCAAGGCGAACGCAUAGAGGAGUGCAAGCUGACCGAACCACAGAACGCGAAUCGGUUGAACUGCAGCAGCCUCUGCAACGACCCCAGCCAGCUGGUCGUCUACAGGGAGAAGGAUGACGCGACCAAGUCAUGCGAGCUACUGCCAUUCACUAAAAUUAAGCACCCCUCGAAAUGGGGCACCGUGUCCAAGGGAAUCUGCGCACCAGAACACGUUCAGUUGGAAAUUCUGCAUGGAACCAUUAACGUUUGGCACCUCACGUGGGACGGGGUGCCGAACCACGACGAAAAUUGCGAUGCGCCCGACACGAGUCUCGUCUACAGAUCGGAAUGUGAUACUCCCCAAAACUGCAAGAAGCCUCGGUACCGGUGCGCACAACAUCGCAUAAUGCACCAGGUCCGGGAUGUCACAAUCUGCCACCUCGCCAUCGACUCCCACGCGGAAAGGUGUUCGUAGCAAUUUACACAAACAAAAUGGAGGUACGAUAGUGAUUUUUUUCGUACCCACAACAAAGACUUUAAUGGGGUAAGUCCUAGGCCUUCCUUUGAUUGUAGUUAAUUGUGCCAAAACGAGUAUUUGAUGUUCCCUCCUGUCUCGAGUCACAAAAAAAAGUGAUACGUGUUAAAAUUCUAGUCUCGUGUGACAAAUGUUCACAGUUUAUUUAUCGAUUUACUAUGGCCAUUGGCCAACGUUACACUGGAACAACGUUUCUCUAUUCAUUGAUUUUGGAUAUCGCGUGGCGUUAUUCUGUAAGGAUACACUGAUAA